rnacentral:rRNA from 1 species
CCUACGGGGUGCUGCAGUGGGGAAUAUUGGACAAUGGGCGAAAGCCUGAUCCAGCCAUGCCGCGUGUGUGAAGAAGGCCUUCGGGUUGUAAAGCACUUUCAGUGGGGAAGAAAGCCUUGGGGCUAAUACCCUCGAGGAAGGACAUCACCCACAGAAGAAGCACCGGCUAACUCCGUGCCAGCAGCCGCGGUAAUACGGAGGGUGCGAGCGUUAAUCGGAAUUACUGGGCGUAAAGCGCGCGUAGGCGGUCUGAUAAGCCGGUUGUGAAAGCCCCGGGCUCAACCUGGGAACGGCAUCCGGAACUGUCAGGCUAGAGUGCAGGAGAGGAAGGUAGAAUUCCCGGUGUAGCGGUGAAAUGCGUAGAGAUCGGGAGGAAUACCAGUGGCGAAGGCGGCCUUCUGGACUGACACUGACGCUGAGGUGCGAAAGCGUGGGUAGCAAACAGGAUUAGAUACCCCAGUAAUC